rnacentral:misc_RNA from 1 species
AAAAUGCGAUACCUAGUGUGAAUUGCAGAUUCCGCGAAUCAUCGAGUCUUUGAACGCAACUUGCGCUCUCUGGUCCUCCGGAGAGCAUGCCUGUUUGAGCAUCAGUAACCCCAUCAACUCCUCAGUGGGUUGGAUCUGAGCGUUCAGCCAAUCUUCUCUUUGGUUGUCGCUUGAAAUCUAGGGAGCGCCAGCAACCAAGCACACCCAGGCGUAGUAGUAGCGGUCCGUCCGUCACCUCGUCGAAGUGCGCAUAUUUGGAUGCACAGCGUGCUCUUUAAAAUCUUAAUAAUUUUUACCAUUGAUCUCAAAUCAGGCAAGACUACCCGCUGAACUUAA